GUGCUUGCCGUGUCCGCACAUAUGCUAAGAUACUAAGAGAAGAUUAGCAUGGCCCCUGCGCAAGGGUACCGUGCAGAUUUGUGCUGUGUUCCGUAUUUUU
rnacentral:snRNA from 1 species